CUCCAAAUUCCUUACUUAUCCCCUCAGAUCCAAACGUCGGUCUGAGUGGCUACAAAAGUUGGAAAAGUGAAACUGAAUUGGACUUGGAUUCUUUAGUGAUAUACAAGUUCAUUUCAAAAAAAU
rnacentral:snoRNA from 1 species